GAUGAACGCUGGCGGCGUGCUUAACACAUGCAAGUCGAACGGAAAGGCCCAAGCUUGCUUGGGUACUCGAGUGGCGAACGGGUGAGUAACACGUGGGUGAUCUGCCCUGCACUUCGGGAUAAGCCUGGGAAACUGGGUCUAAUACUGGAUAGGACCACUUCUUGGAUGGUGUGGUGGAAAGUUUUUUCGGUGUGGGAUGAGCUCGCGGCCUAUCAGCUUGUUGGUGGGGUAAUGGCCUACCAAGGCGUCGACGGGUAGCCGGCCUGAGAGGGUGUACGGCCACAUUGGGACUGAGAUACGGCCCAGACUGCUACGGGAGGCAGCAGUGGGGAAUAUUGCACAAUGGGCGCAAGCCUGAUGCAGCGACGCCGCGUGGGGGAUGACGGCCUUCGGGUUGUAAACUCCUGUCGCUAGGGACGAAGCGUUUUUGUGACGGUACCUGGAGAAGAAGCAGCGGCUAACUACGUG
rnacentral:rRNA from 1 species